CGGGUGCACUGAUCCAGCCGGGCCUUUCCCUCUGUGGAACCCCAUGGCCUUCACUGGCUGUGGUGGGGAAACAGGACUUUUACUUUGAAAAAAUUAGAGUGCUCCAGGCAGGCCUAUGCUCGAAUACAUUAGCAUGGAAUAAUAGAAUAGGACGUGUGGUUCUAUUUUGUUGGUUUCUAGGACCGCCGUAAUGAUUAAUAGGGACGGUCGGGGGCAUCAGUAUUCAAUUGUCAGAGGUGAAAUUCUUGGAUCUAUUGAAGACUAACUACUGCGAAAGCAUUUGCCAAGGAUGUUUUCAUUGAUAAGGAACGAAAGUUAGGGGAUCGAAGACGAUCAGAUACCGUCGUAGUCUUAACUAUAAACUAUGCCGACUAGGGAUCGGACGAUGUUAUUCUUUGACGCGUUCGGCACCUUUCGAGAAAUCAAAGUGCUUGGGCUCCAGGGGGAGUAUGGUCGCAAGGCUGAAACUUAAAGAAAUUGACGGAAGGGCACCACCAGGGGUGGAACCUGCGGCUUAAUUUGACUCAACACGGGGAAACUCACCAGGUCCAGACACAGUGAGGAUUGACAGAUUGAGAGCUCUUUCUUGAUUCUGUGGGUGGUGGUGCAUGGCCGUUCUUAGUUGGUGGAGUGAUUUGUCUGCUUAAUUGCGAUAACGAACGAGACCUUAACCUGCUAAAUAGCCCGUACUGCUUUGGCAGUUCGCCGGCUUCUUAGAGGGACUAUCGG
rnacentral:rRNA from 1 species